rnacentral:rRNA from 1 species
UACGGAGGGUGCGAGCGUUAACCGGAAUUACUGGGCGUAAAGCGCGCGUAGGCGGUCUGAUCAGCCGGUUGUGAAAGCCCCGGGCUCAACCUGGGAACGGCAUCCGGAACUGUCAGGCUAGAGUGCAGGAGAGGAAGGUAGAAUUCCCGGUGUAGCGGUGAAAUGCGUAGAGAUCGGGAGGAAUACCAGUGGCGGAGGCGGCCUUCUGGACUGACACUGACGCUGAGGUGCGAAAGCGUGGGUAGCAAACAGGAUUAGAUACCCGGGUAGUCCCUGA